GCACCAGUGGGGAAUAUUGCGCAAUGGGCGAAAGCCUGACGCAGCAACGCCGCGUGAGGGAUGAAGGCCUUCGGGUUGUAAACCUCUUUUAUCAGGGAAGAAGCGAAAGUGACGGUACCUGAAGAAAAAGCACCGGCUAACUACGUGCCAGCAGCCGCGGUAAUACGUAGGGUGCAAGCGUUAUCCGGAAUUAUUGGGCGUAAAGAGCUCGUAGGCGGUUUGUCGCGUCUGCUGUGAAAAUCUGAGGCUCAACCUCGGACUUGCAGUGGGUACGGGCAGACUAGAGUGCGGUAGGGGAGAAGGGAAUUCCUGGUGUAGCGGUGGAAUGCGCAGAUAUCAGGAGGAACACCAAUGGCGAAGGCACUUCUCUGGGCCGCUACUGACGCUGAGGAGCGAAAGCGUGGGGAGCGAACCAGGAUUA
rnacentral:rRNA from 1 species